UGUGUGGCUGCAGGUGUGGCUGUAGGUGUGGUUGCUGUGUCACAUUGUGCCGGUAGGUGGCAGAGAGGAAAGAAGCUAUGCCUAUGCUCAAUUUUCUUACCUAUGAACAUCUGAAUAACUAGUAGCCUAACAAU